UCAGGGUCGGCAUGCUUGCGGUCCUGAAUCGCGGUAAGCUGGGAAAUGCGUCGGAAUCCAGUGAAAACUCCACAACUUCGAUCGAACUCUUCUCUAUUUCCUCCCACUUUCUUAAAGCUAUCUGACCUUCUCUCUGCUCUUCCUUCUUCUCGGGGCCCCGUACUCCGACACUGCUUCCGGUGACGUCGCUUCCUCCUCUCCUGUUGCUUCAGCUACUCGCCGCUACGCGGCGCAACCGCUCAUUGUUGUUCUGGCACUCGCCGAAUCACGGCGCAGCCUCCUGGUUGUGGUCUUCGCGGCGUACUCGACCGGUUGCGGUCGUACAAGGGUCCCACUCAUACCGGUUCUUGUCGUCCUGUCCUCUGUCGUGGUUGGUUGCGUCCUACGACCUUCGGAAGUACCAUCGAGGGUGUCCGGAAUACCCGGAUGAGGCGCAGGUACGACGCGGGUAGACGUCCGGCUGUGGACUGGAUUCUGGGGGUGACUCGAUGGUUGCGGCGAGUCCCCGGUUGGUGUCCUCGACACGGUUGUUGCGAGGCGGUGCCGAACUGGCACUUAACGUGAGGUACGAGGGGUCCUGAUGUCCUUCAGCGGUCUCAAACACUCCUGGUUCCCGCUGGCACUAUCACUCACGGCCGUGGCCGUGCACUGACACUUCUUGGCGAAACAGUGGAUUUGUAGCGGUCCAACUGUUCGCUAUGACUCUUUCCGGGCAAUUGGACGAGUCUUGAGGAGUCCUUGGCGGUUGACGGUCUUCGUCUUUCCCCUCCUCUUUCCGCGCCUUUUCCCUGACCUUCCAACCUACCGUCAUGUCACCUCUCUACCGCCCACUGCCGACGAGGUCCUCUGGUGGUCGGUUUCGGAAGCUUCUGCUGGCUGCGUUCUUGGUGGACGUCACUUGCUGGGUCGUUUACCGGAGACAAAACACUUGACACGCGAACACUUCCCAACUUUUACAUUAAACGGAAAACAAAUCGCGUAAAUCGCGGUAACCUUCACGAGUGAGGUUCCGAACGGUUACACUCUCCCCCAGCUCGGGUAAAAAAAAUACUUGUAUGCAAGGAUUUUUUUUUUUACACAACAAAUAUUUUUUUAGAAAAAAUUGCAUGUUGAAACCACGUCAAAGCGGCCUAGCUGAACCUUCCAAACUCAAAAUAAUAUCUACAGGACUGAUAAUCAGCGUCACACUGUAGCUCAUGAAAUAUUUCACACCCCAUUUCUUGAUUCCGACAGCCAAUAUUCUAUGAAAAACAUGCGAAAUUUGGACAGUAUUGUGAUCUGAGUUAUCGGGGUCAUAAGGCAUCAACGAAGGAAAUCCUUCUCCGCGCUGUUUAGCAGGACGAACCUGUGUACUGGCCAUCAACGUAUAUUUCAACUCCAGCCUCCAGCGAUAAACUCAUUGAUUUAUACUGUCACAAAUCUCACCAAAAUCCAAAAAGGAACAAACUAAAAUUCAACAAACUACUAUUUACAAGACAAACUAAUAAAUAAAUAAAUAAAUAACAAAGCUACUCAUGCACAAAUAACAAAUUAAAAUUAAAUCAUGCAAAUAAAUAAUUUAAAAAAACAAAAACUACGAACUCCGGAGCAUGCCUAUUUACAAAAACAGAGUCAUUCGCGGAUUGUGCAUGAAACAUUUCAUCGUUGUCAGAGUUGUUUUAAGCACUCUAGUACUUCUUUUCUACUGUCAUUUCAUCUGUGUACGUGCGUAUCUGACAUCGGCUGUCAAACGAUAUUGUGUUAUUGUGGAACAAACGUGGUGCUUUCCAAUUGAAGUUCAAUUCUGAAAAUUUCAGGUUUUGGACACUUUAAAGGCCUUUACUAAUUAAAAUUUGUUGUUUUCUCAACGCAGAAAAUCAAUGGCCAUAAAAUUCAAUGCGGAGUUUAGCUCUAAAGUGUCCUUCCUGGGAUUUUUGGAGUUGUUCUUUCUCUGGUAAAGUUAAAUGUUAUGAGGAAAAUUAUUAUGCGGUUCAAGGUACUAAACACCUGCCACCUUCACGACUGAUUCACCAACUCUAGCGCAAUACACGGUUUGAAGAACUUUUACAACCAUGUAUGCAGCUGGCUUACAGUACGUGCUCAAUUUUGAGAACUGGCUCACCAUCUCUACGGAUACCUGAGACCAGACUCGAUUUUUGCAAUCCUCGUUGCGUAAACUUCUAACAAACAUCAACUUUUUUUUGUUCCGGAACUUCAACUUUAACAACAUUUGCCAACUCUGGGCAUAAAAUUGGGUCCUGCCUGCUGCAGUUUUGACCCGGAGUCCUGGAUGCACCCAACUACGUUAGCAUGGAGCUGUAAUGUACAGUAUUGGACGACGUAGCACUCUAAAAGAAUUGUUUACAGAGGAAACUAUUAGGCCGAUAACAUCGCACCUUACUCCAACAACGCGCGCUCCUUCAACUUCUUUAACUCACCAUCAGCUCUGCUCUGUACUAAAUCCAGCUGAAGUCUUCACUGAUGAACCUGGAACAUCCGCUGAACAGCAUGCAACCAGUUCGGUGUUCUACGAUCAACGUGUACUAACAACAGAAUCACGUGUCGCGUUAUUUGAAUUGUAAUUUUAUAAAAUUUAAAAAGAACUAAGUACGGAAGCAGAUUUUAAACUGAAAAUCAAUUUGUUAUUCUAGUUAGGGCAUUCCGCCUUGUUUUAACGACUAAAUCGUAAUUGUAAAAUCCUAGGUAGUUGUGAAAGCGCGAUAAAAUUUGUUAAAUUACUAGAUUUGCACAUUCUCAAGUGAGAAAUUGAUUAGAAAAACCUAUAAAUUUGUUCAUGCAUCCUAAAUAUGCAGAAAAUAACUGUAAAUUGAAAAAAUCUCUAGUAUUGUUAUAGUUUUAGGUUUAUUCUUGAAGUAAAUGACUAGUUUGCUGGGUGUUUUAUUUGACCAACGCUGAAAGAUAACGCAAUUCAUACACAGGUGAAGUGAUUGCUCCAUACAAACUCAAUCAAUGAACUCAUUAAUGGUCAACUCCGACCUUCUUUUGUCAAUUGCCCUUUUCAUACAAAUUUGGACGUCAGAACCCCUCAAUGGACGAACGAAAUCGUUCAAUCGCAGCGUGUAAAGUCAAAAUUAUCCAUCACACAAGUGCGGAAAUUCAUUCAAGCUGGCGGGAUGUUUUCCCAGAGACGCCUGCGAUAACUGGUUCCUUCAAGCAAUUUUUCCCCAAGCUUAACCCUUGAAAACAGACUACAAGUCUAAUUUUUGUUGGGCGCCAAAGUGUAACUGUCGGGUUACCACCGGCUCAUGAGCGCUAUCGAGACUCCCUCAUGUAGCCUCAGGGUCGGCAUGCUUGCGGUCCUGAAUCGCGGUAAGCUGGGAAAUGCGUCGGAAUCCAGUGAAAACUCCACAACUUCGAUCGAACUCUUCUCUAUUUCCUCCCACUUUCUUAAAGCUAUCUGACCUUCUCUCUGCUCUUCCUUCUUCUCGGGGCCCCGUACUCCGACACUGCUUCCGGUGACGUCGCUUCCUCCUCUCCUGUUGCUUCAGCUACUCGCCGCUACGCGGCGCAACCGCUCAUUGUUGUUCUGGCACUCGCCGAAUCACGGCGCAGCCUCCUGGUUGUGGUCUUCGCGGCGUACUCGACCGGUUGCGGUCGUACAAGGGUCCCACUCAUACCGGUUCUUGUCGUCCUGUCCUCUGUCGUGGUUGGUUGCGUCCUACGACCUUCGGAAGUACCAUCGAGGGUGUCCGGAAUACCCGGAUGAGGCGCAGGUACGACGCGGGUAGACGUCCGGCUGUGGACUGGAUUCUGGGGGUGACUCGAUGGUUGCGGCGAGUCCCCGGUUGGUGUCCUCGACACGGUUGUUGCGAGGCGGUGCCGAACUGGCACUUAACGUGAGGUACGAGGGGUCCUGAUGUCCUUCAGCGGUCUCAAACACUCCUGGUUCCCGCUGGCACUAUCACUCACGGCCGUGGCCGUGCACUGACACUUCUUGGCGAAACAGUGGAUUUGUAGCGGUCCAACUGUUCGCUAUGACUCUUUCCGGGCAAUUGGACGAGUCUUGAGGAGUCCUUGGCGGUUGACGGUCUUCGUCUUUCCCCUCCUCUUUCCGCGCCUUUUCCCUGACCUUCCAACCUACCGUCAUGUCACCUCUCUACCACCCACUGCCGACGAGGUCCUCUGGUGGUCGGUUUCGGAAGCUUCUGCUGGCUGCGUUCUUGGUGGACGCCACUUGCUGGGUCGUUUACCGGAGACAAAACACUUGACACGCGAACACUUCCC